AACGGUCUAUACCUGCGGUACCUGCGGAGGGAUCAUUACUGAGUUUUUGUUUCUUAUGAGACAAAUCUCCCACCCUUUGAUAAUUAUGGUCAAAACUUUUUAGCUUCGGCGAGACAAUUAGUUACUAAUUGACUGAUGAUAGUGUAAUCAUUGGUUUGUGCUUGCCGAUAGCAACUAUAAACUCUUAUUUACUAGUAGUCUGAAGCUAUUUGAUAAAUAAAUCAAAACUUUCAACAAUGG
rnacentral:misc_RNA from 1 species